AGUGAACGCUGGCGGUAGGCCUAACACAUGCAAGUCGAACGGCAGCACAGUAAGAGCUUGCUCUUACGGGUGGCGAGUGGCGGACGGGUGAGGAAUACAUCGGAAUCUACUUUUUCGUGGGGGAUAACGUAGGGAAACUUACGCUAAUACCGCAUACGACCUACGGGUGAAAGCAGGGGAUCUUCGGACCUUGCGCGAUUGAAUGAGCCGAUGUCGGAUUAGCUAGUUGGCGGGGUAAAGGCCCACCAAGGCGACGAUCCGUAGCUGGUCUGAGAGGAUGAUCAGCCACACUGGAACUGAGACACGGUCCAGACUCCUACGGGAGGCAGCAGUGGGGAAUAUUGGACAAUGGGCGCAAGCCUGAUCCAGCCAUACCGCGUGGAUGAAGAAGGCCUUCGGGUUGUAAAGCCCUUUUGUUGGGAAAGAAAAGCAGCAGGUUAAUACCCCGCUGUUCUGACGGUACCCAAAGAAUAAGCACCGGCUAACCUCGUG
rnacentral:rRNA from 1 species